rnacentral:misc_RNA from 1 species
GCUCCGUAGGUGAACCUGCGGAGGGAUCAUUACAGAGUUCAUGCCCUACCGGGUAGAUCUCCCACCCUAUGUUAUUAUUACUUUGUUGCUUUGGCGGGCCGUUAGGCUCCGGCCCGACUACCGGCCCCGGCUGGUAAGCGCCCGCCAGAGGACCCAAAACCCUGUAUAUUAGUGUCGUCUGAGUACUAUAUAAUAGUUAAAACUUUCAACAACGGACCUCUUGGUUCUG